GUCAAGAGGAGCUUGCUUUUCUUGACUUAGUGGCGAACGGGUGAGUAACGCGUGAGUAACCUGCCCUGGAGUGGGGGACAACAGUUGGAAACGACUGCUAAUACCGCAUAAGCCCACGGAUCCGCAUGGAUCUGCGGGAAAAGGAUUUAUUCGCUUCAGGAUGGACUCGCGUCCAAUUAGCUAGUUGGUGAGGUAACGGCCCACCAAGACGACGAUUGGUAGCCGGACUGAGAGGUUGAACGGCCACAUUGGGACUGAGACACGGCCCAGACUCCUACGGGAGGCAGCAGUGGGGGAUAUUGCACAAUGGGGGAAACCCUGAUGCAGCGACGCCGCGUGGAGGAAGAAGGUUUUCGGAUUGUAAACUCCUGUCGUUAGGGACGAUAAUGACGGUACCUAACAAGAAAGCACCGGCUAACUACGUGCCAGCAGCCGCGGUAAAACGUAGGGUGCAAGCGUUGUCCGGAAUUACUGGGUGUAAAGGGAGCGCAGGCGGACCGGCAAGUUGGAAGUGAAAACUAUGGGCU
rnacentral:rRNA from 1 species